rnacentral:rRNA from 1 species
UCCAGACUCCUACGGGAGGCAGCAGUGGGGAAUAUUGGGCAAUGGGCGCAAGCCUGACCCAGCAACGCCGCGUGAAGGAAGAAGGCUUUCGGGUUGUAAACUUCUUUUAAGAGGGAAGAGUAGAAGACGGUACCUCUUGAAUAAGCCACGGCUAACUACGUGCCAGCAGCCGCGGUAAUACGGAGGAUGCGAGCGUUAUCCGGAUUUAUUGGGUUUAAAGGGUGCGUAGGCGGGAUGCCAAGUCAGCGGUAAAAAUGCGGUGCUCAACGCCGUCGAGCCGUUGAAACUGGCGUUCUUGAGUGGGCGAGAAGUAUGCGGAAUGCGUGGUGUAGCGGUGAAAUGCAUAGAUAUCACGCAGAACUCCGAUCGCGAAGGCAGCCUACCGGCGCGCAACUGACGCUCAUGCACGAAAGCGUGGGUAUCGAACAGGAUUAGAUACCCGUGUA